GUUCACUUUGCAUGAUUGGUUCCAUAAGGAAGAAUUACUCUAAUGCUUCACUAUGAGAAGGAUAAUAUUGGUCCAUCAUGGCAUUUGACUCACAUAUGCACAGCAGUUCUAGACAUUUUGACUGAGACAGGAAAACACCUCACUUACUGUAUAUAAGAGAGAAUUUUAGUUUGUUAGUAUGGCUUUUUGACUAUAUAUAUAUAUAUAAAAUAUAACGGGUGAAUUGUG